rnacentral:misc_RNA from 1 species
CUUAUAAGAAAUCUUGGUAAUAUGUGUAACCCAGAGCUUCAUAAGGGUAGGCUUCAAGUGCCCAAGCUCAUAAAGGAAUACAUUGAUGAGGUCUCAACUCAGUUGAGAAUGGUUUGUGAUUCAGAUUCGGAGGAGCUUGCACUGGAAGAGAAGCUUUCUUUCAUGCAUGAGACAAGACAUGCAUUUGGGAGAACAGCUUUGCUUUUGAGUGGUGGUGCUUCCCUUGGAGCCUUUCAUGCGGGUGUGGUUAAAACGCUGGUGGAGCAUAAGCUUUUGCCAAGAAUAAUUGCUGGUUCCAGUGUGGGAUCCAUUAUGUGUUCUGUUGUUGCCACUAGAUCGUGGCCAGAGCUACAGAGCUUUUUUGAGGGUUCUUUGCACUCAUUGCAGUUUUUUGACCAGAUGGGUGGGCUUUUUACUGUUGUGAAGAGGGUCAGGACACAAGGAGCUGUCCAUGAAAUACGGCAGUUGCAAUGGAUGUUAAGGCAUCUGACGAGUAAUCUUACAUUUCAAGAAGCUUAUGACAUGACAGGUC